GUGCCUAAUACAUGCAAGUCGAGCGCGAGAUUGAGGAGCUUGCUCCUCAUGAUCGAGCGGCGGACGGGUGAGUAACACGUAGGCAACCUACCCUUGAGAUUGGGAUAACUACCGGAAACGGUAGCUAAUACCGGAUACGACAUAGUCACAAAAGUGAUUGUGUUAAAAGGCGGAUUUAUCUGCCGCUCAUGGAUGGGCCUGCGGUGCAUUAGCUAGUUGGUGAGAUAGAAGCUCACCAAGGCGACGAUGCAUAGCCGACCUGAGAGGGUGAUCGGCCACACUGGGACUGAGACACGGCCCAGACUCCUACGGGAGGCAGCAGUAGGGAAUCUUCCGCAAUGGACGAAAGUCUGACGGAGCAACGCCGCGUGAGUGAUGAAGGGUUUCGGCUCGUAAAACUCUGUUGUUAAGGAAGAAUACUUGAGGUAGUAACUGGCCUUGAGAUGACGGUACUUAACCAGAAAGCCACGGCUAACUACGUGCCAGCAGCCGCGGUAAUACGUAGGUGGCAAGCGUUAUCCGGAAUUAUUGGGCGUAAAGCGCGCGUAGGCGGUAAAAUAAGUCUGAUGUGAAAGCCCCCGGCUCAACCGGGGAGGGUCAUUGGAAACUGUUUUACUUGAGUACAGAAGAGGAGAGUGGAAUUCCAUGUGUAGCGGUGAAAUGCGCAGAGAUAUGGAGGAACACCAGUGGCGAAGGCGGCUCUCUGGUCUGUAACUGACGCUGAGGUGCGAAAGCGUGGGGAUCAAACAGGAUUAGAUACCCUGGUAGUCCACGCCGUAAACGAUGAGUGCUAAGUGUUGGGGGGUUUCCGCCCCUCAGUGCUGCAGCUAACGCAUUAAGCACUCCGCCUGGGGAGUACGGCCGCAAGGCUGAAACUCAAAGGAAUUGACGG
rnacentral:rRNA from 1 species